AAUCAUUAGUCUUUUAAUUUGAGACUGGAAUGAAUGGUUUAACUAAUUAAUUUUGUCUCAUUUUAAUAUUUUGAAUUUUAUAUUUUAGUAAAAAAGCUAAAAUUUUUUUUAAAGACGAGAAGACCCUAUCAAGCUUUAUAAUCAAUUUUUUAUAAUCAAAAUAAAAUUAAAAUUAUUUUACUGGGGCAGUAGACGAAAAUUUUUCGUUUUAUCAUUUUGAUAAAUUUAUCUUGAAAAAUCAAAAAAUUUUUAAAAAAGAAUAAGUUACUGUAGGGAUAACAGCAUAAUUUUUUUAAAGAGAUCUCAUCACCAAAAAAGUUUGUGACCUCGAUGUUGGAUUAAGAUACCUAAUUUACGCAAUAGUGAAUAAG
rnacentral:rRNA from 1 species